AGAGGGCGAAUAUUAGGACAAUGGGGGCAACCCUGAUCCAGCAAUGCCGCGUGAGUGAAGAAGGCCUUCGGGUUGUUAAGCUCUUUUACCAGGGAAGAUGAUGACGGUACCUGGGGAAUAAGCUCCGGCUAACUUCGUGCCAGCAGCCGCGGUAAUACGAAGGGAGCUAGCGUUGUUCGGAAUUACUGGGCGUAAAGGGCGCGUAGGCGGCUCUGUAAGUCAGAUGUGAAAGCCCCGGGCUUAACCUGGGAACUGCAUUUGAUACUGCAGAGCUAGAAGAUCGAGAGAGGAAAGUGGAAUUACGAGUGUAGAAGUGAAAUUCGUAGAUAUUCGUAGGAACACCAGUGGCGAAGGCGACUUUCUGGCUCGAUACUGACGCUAAAGCGCGAAAGCGUGGGGAGCAAACAGGAUUAGAUACCCUGGUAGA
rnacentral:rRNA from 1 species